GUGAUGAUCUCUAUAAAGUCUCGGCAUUUUAGCUUGCAUCGAAUUUUUUUGCUCGCGAUUGGCUUAUGGCCUUGCCAACGAUCAAAGCUCGUUCAAUUUCAACUAAUUCUGUUUUUCAGCAUCCUAGUUAAUUUUGUCAUAAUUGUGUUUUCAUCCUUUGUUACUGAAGAAUUCUCUCUUGAUCUUUUCAUCAACAUUUUCUCCAUAGGAUUAUUUUUCAUUAUGUUUGCGAUUUUGUACAAUUCUUUUUGGUAUAAUUUCACUACAAUUGUAGAACGUCCUUUGGAGGAACUUCAGAAUAUCUGUAACGAAUUAAGAGAUGAAGAAGAAAUUGCUAUUAUAAAGAAAUACGGGGACAACUUAAAACGUUUUACUUUUACUAUUAUGUGUAAGUCAAUAUAUACAAACAUAUACACACGUUUAUUGAUAUGUAGCUCAUAUUGUGAAGUAAAAUGCAAUUAAGAUACAUUACAA